rnacentral:rRNA from 1 species
UACGGAAGGGGCAAGCGUUGUUCGGAAUCAUUGGGCGUAAAGGGCGCGUAGGUGGUUCUGUAUGUCUACCGUGAAAGCGUACGGCUCAACCGUAUUUUGUCGGUGGAAACUGCAGGACUUGAGGCUGGGAGGGGCUGGUGGAAUUCCCUGUGUAGCGGGUGAAAUGCGUAGAGAUGGGGGAGAACACUCGUGGCGAAGGCGGCCAGCUAGACCAGUUCUGACACUGAGGCGCGACAGCGUGGGGAGCAAACAGG